UACGGGGGGAGCAAGCGUUGUUCGGAUUUACUGGGCGUAAAGCGCACGUAGGCGGCUUUGUAAGUUAGAGGUGAAAGCCCGGGGCUCAACCCCGGAAUUGCCUUUAAGACUGCAUCGCUUGAAUCCAGGAGAGGUGAGUGGAAUUCCGAGUGUAGAGGUGAAAUUCGUAGAUAUUCGGAAGAACACCAGUGGCGAAGGCGGCUCACUGGACUGGUAUUGACGCUGAGGUGCGAAAGCGUGGGGAGCAAACAGG
rnacentral:rRNA from 1 species